UUCUGACCUUUUUGAUUAUUUUAGGCUCCCUGGGGCCUGGCCUGGAACACCCUCCUAGGUGUAAAUAGCCCAGCCAUCAGCCACCUUCUUAGCAGAGGAGAUGAAUCAACAGCAGGUCAAAGACACAUGCAAAUGCUGCCAUCUCUAUGAAAAAAAGCCCAUGUAAGCCAGACAAGAUACCAUGGGGAGGAGAAGCAAGUUGCCUCUGUUGACAGCCCCAGAAGCAGAAGCUCACUCCCAGAAGCACAGCUGCUUAGUCAACAAGCAGCUGAUAAUACAUGUCUGAAAGAGCUCAGUUGAGACCAGAAGAAUGGUCCCACUGAGCCCAGCCUAAAUGCCUGACCAUCUCAAUUAUGAUGCUAAUAAGUUUUGGAUGGUUUGUUACACUGUAACAGCUAACUAAUACAUGCACCCAGUGCAGAUAAGAUGCCAGGCUUCAAUGACAGCCUGAUUACUAGUUACCUUCUAAUAGUGGGCACCCUAAAAGUACUAAUUUUUUCCCCCUGAUUUAAAGUUGAAUGUCUUGUAAGAUAAUGUUGAGAAAUGCAGAAAUACAUGUGGACAUGUA